GACGAGCGCUGGCGGCGUGCCUAAUACAUGCAAGUCGAACGAGAGCGACCGGUGCUUGCACUGGUCAAUCUAGUGGCGAACGGGUGAGUAACACGUGGGUAACCUGCCCAUCAGAGGGGGAUAACAUCCGGAAACGGAUGCUAAAACCGCAUAGGUCUUCGAACCGCAUGGUUUGAAGAGGAAAAGAGGCGCAAGCUUCUGCUGAUGGAUGGACCCGCGGUGCAUUAGCUAGUUGGUGAGGUAACGGCUCACCAAGGCCGUGAUGCAUAGCCGACCUGAGAGGGUGAUCGGCCACAUUGGGACUGAGACACGGCCCAAACUCCUACGGGAGGCAGCAGUAGGGAAUCUUCCGCAAUGGACGCAAGUCUGACGGAGCAACGCCGCGUGAGUGAAGAAGGUUUUCGGAUCGUAAAACUCUGUUGUUAGAGAAGAACAAGUGCUAGAGUAACUGUUAGCGCCUUGACGGUAUCUAACCAGAAAGCCACGGCUAACUACGUG
rnacentral:rRNA from 1 species